GGGGAUGCAGCUCUGUGGUCGAGUACUUGUCUGGAAUGCACAAGGCUCUGGGUUCAAACCCUAGUAUCCCCA
rnacentral:tRNA from 1 species